CUGUAUUAAUAAAGAGUCCCUCCUGCCCUCUGUCCCAGGUUCCCCGUAUUAAUAAAGAGUCCCUCCUGCCCUCUGUCCCAGGUACCCCUGUAUUAAUAAAGAGUCCCUCCUGCCCUCUGUCCCAGGUACCCCCGUAUUAAUAAAGAGUCCCUCCUGCCCUCUGUCCCAGGUUCCCCGUAUUAAUAAAGAGUCC